rnacentral:rRNA from 1 species
UACGUAGGUGGCAAGCGUUGUUCGGAAUUACUGGGCGUAAAGAGCGCGCAGGCGGUCGUUCAAGUCGAGUGUGAAAGCCCCCGGCUCAACUGGGGAGGGUCACUCGAUACUGAUCGACUCGAAGGCAGGAGAGGGAAGUGGAAUUCCCGGUGUAGUGGUGAAAUGCGUAGAUAUCGGGAGGAACACCAGUGGCGAAGGCGACUUCCUGGCCUGUUCUUGACGCUGAGGCGCGAAAGCUAGGGGAGCAAACGGG